rnacentral:rRNA from 1 species
AUGUGGCAUGAGGCGCGGCGGUCGGAGAGGAAGGUCCACGACCUCAUGGACGGUGCGCGGCGCCGGGCCCAGCGGCGCUACGCCUACCUCGCCCGCCGACGCGGCGAUCCGCACCAGUCCCUCGAGGUUUCCGGUGCCCGGUGCCGCGUCCACCGCGACGACUCACUAUAUCAGGCCACGGAGGACCAGCAGGGAUUGAUACAAUGGAACGGGAAACAAGAUAUUCUGAUUGACAGAUUUGAUGGCCGUGCACUACUUGACUUCAUCCGUGACUCUAGCUUUCAGUCUUUUCAAACUCAGGAAAAAUCUGAAGAAGAGGAGGAGCUAGAGGAUUUUGUUAAUUUUGAACGUUACCGGGACUUGAUUAAGCAUCGUCAUAGAGGAUUUUCUGAUGAGGUGGAUUUACAACAUGUUGCGCAAGAGUUGGAAGCAAAAGCUAUUCUUCCUUUUAGCUUUGAGAAAUCUCAAUCAUCACAGGCUCCAGUUAGCAAAGGUGCUUAUUCGCAGGUUGGAUACUCAUAUAAAGGGGAUGGAAAUGAACAUUCUGAUGAUCUGCCCAGUGAUGAUGAAGAUGAAGAGGAAGGAGAAGAGGAUGCCAAGGACUUCAGUAGUGAUGAUAGCAGUGAUGAGCAAAUGGAAAACUUAGCAAAGGAAUUUGGCAUAAAAAGAUAUAACUGGCUUGUUUACAUGGACAAAAAGGUCAAAGAAGAGGAGAAGCGGCAGAAAGAAAUUAUUAAAGGCGACCCAUCCAUUAAAAAAUUGAGUCGGAGAGAUAGAAGGAAGGCUUCUCAAUCUGAGAGGGAGCGAGAGAGGGAGGCAGUACGUUCUGUUGGAAGGGUAUCUUAUCGUGACCCUUAUAGGGAACAAAGGAGAAGCCCAUCAUAUGAAGCAUAUUCAAGAGGCAGAAGAUCAAGGUCGCGGUCAAGAUCUCAUUCACCUUCAUCCAGACGUCAUACCCGUGGUACACAUGCUGAAAGUAAUUACCGAAGAAAGGCUAAGACUCCAAGAGUUGAAUACAUCACUGAAUUUGGAGGUUCAGAAGACGCCAGUGAUCUGAAAGUUACAGGGAUCUCUCCGCCUUUGUCUCCAAUACGAACUGACAUACCUAACCGGUCAUCAGGUGUCCAUAUUCUGGAGGCACUUCACAGUGAUCCUGCAUCUUCUUUAUCCAUGGAACAGGAAAAAAGUGCUAAAAUUUUGAAACCACCUGCCAGCACAUUAUCAGCACUAGCGAAACUAAAGGGUGCUUCUGGAGGAUUUGGUAAAACUCCCCAGGCUGAAAAGAAAGAAACACCACAGGAACGCCUUAAAAGGAUAAUGAGCAAACAGCUUAACAAACAAAUUCGUAAAGAUACUGCUGCUGAGACCGCAAAGAAACGAGAACAGGAACGGCAAAGGCAGGAAAAACUUGCAGAAGUAGGUCGAUACAGGCUCCGUAGCAGGAGUAGAAGUCUUAGCCGUUCUCCACCAAGAAAGCGGCAUUAUAGCAGAAGCCAUAGUAGGAGCCAGAGCCCAAGAAGAAACCAUUCACUUUCACUGUCUCGUUCAAGGUCACCCUCUCACUCUCCAAGGUACAGAAGCAGAUCAAGGCACUGA